UUGAGCUAGUCCUAAACCACAGGGGUUUAGGUGCGAUAAAUAAAAAGCUAGAAAAACAAGGGCUAAGCGAAGAAGAUCAACUGAAAUGGCAGUUGUGGGUAACGCUGGAAACUGGACGCACCCAAUCUAUGAUGUAGUAGAUGAAGACACCCGAGGCUCUGCUCAGAAAGCAAAGAAUCAACAUAAAAAUACAAAGAAAAAAAACCGGAGCCUCAGAUCUGAUAUAAAGAUUAUCCGCUUGUGAAGAAGGCCUAAAGAAAAUAAUGGGCCAAUCAUAUAGAUUGGUUGCCAUGACGAAUUUGACGCUCUGCGACCAACCGCUGGAGACUUCCUUCAGCAAAGAUGGCUGACAAAAAUACUAGAACCGAAGCAAAGGUUAGCUUUGUUUUGACGUGAGAGAGGAUGCCAACCCCCAGUCCCGUCAUCGCCACAUCACCCGCUCUUAAGAUAACCUUCAGGUCAACUGGGAGCCCAAGGCUGGUUAGGAGACACCACUAGAGACACUAUUAUGUAAUUGUGAUGAACUGAGAGAAUAUUAAUUUUAGUAGCAUUGUAAUUCAUUAAUCAUAUGCUGUCUUCCCUGCUCCUCUGUUAUUACCUCUUUCCCUUUCACACCUCUCUCCCCACCUCUUUCUUCCUGUUUUUAUAAUGCACACCAGAUGUGCAAUGAAGUACAGAACUUUUAUUCAUAAUACAUUUAUUAUAAUUGUAAUAUUAUGUAUUUAUAACACUUGAACUUUUUUCAAAGCAUUUCACAUUCUCUACUGGUUGAAAUAAAGUCUCUCAUUUGAUGAAAUACUA